GACGAACGCUGGCGGCGUGCUUAACACAUGCAAGUCGAACGGAGCGAAUGAAAGCUUGCUUUUAUAAGCUUAGUGGCAAACGGGUGAGUAACACGUAGACAACCUGCCGACAGGAUGGGGACAACAUUCCGAAAGGAAUGCUAAUACCGAAUGAAGCGGAGGAGAGGCAUCUCUCCCCUGUGAAAGAUGGCCUCUAUAUAUAAGCUAUCACCUGUCGAUGGGUCUGCGUCUGAUUAGCUGGUAGGUGAGGUAACGGCUCACCUAGGCGACGAUCAGUAGCCGGUCUGAGAGGAUGAACGGCCACAUUGGGACUGAGACACGGCCCAGACUCCUACGGGAGGCAGCAGUGGGGAAUCUUCCGCAAUGGGCGCAAGCCUGACGGAGCAACGCCGCGUGAGUGAAGAAGGUCUUCGGAUCGUAAAGCUCUGUUGAUGGGGACGAACGUGCCUAAUGCGAAUAGUAUUAGGU
rnacentral:rRNA from 1 species